rnacentral:SRP_RNA from 1 species
GCUGGUCGCGGUGGUGCAUGCAUGCCUUUAGUCCCAGCUACUCGGGAGGCUGAGGUGUGAGGAUUGCUUGAGCCCAGGAGUUCUAGGCUGUAGUGCACUAUGCUGAUAGGGUGUCUGCACUAAGUUCGGCGUCAAUGUGAUGACCUUCCGGGAGCAGGGGACCACCAGGUUAGCCUAAGGAGGGGUGAACCAGCCCAAGUUGGAAACCGAGCAGGUCAAAAUUCCUGUGCUGAUCAGGUCAAAAUUCCUGUGCUGAUCAGUAGUGGGAUCGUGCCUGUGAAUAGCCACUGCACUCCAGCCUGGGCAAUAUAAUGAGACCUUGUCUCU